UUGUGUGGCAAAAUAGUUGACUAUAGGUGGGUUGCAAUCACGUGACCUAGAGACACAUCUGGGCACUUCUGGGUUUCAGGCGAUGGUUUGAGCCCCAUUAGGCUUCUGUUUAUUUACCUGAAUCAGUGCAGAUUUAAGCUUACUUGGAAAGGUUUAGAGGCAAAUUUAAAACCGAUCAUGAAAAAAAUAUGUUUAAUGAAGAGGGACAAGCGGUAGAAAAUGGAUGGAUGGAUGGAUGGAUGAAGUAGAUUUUUACAUUAUUAAGAAACAUAUAUUUUUUUAAGGAUUUAUACGAUUUUAUCAUCACCAUUACUGCUACCGCACUUCACUUGACACUUAGGGUAUUUAGAGAAUAAUAGAUUGGAGGUACAUCAUGUCUUUACAUCUGAGGGGUCCACAAUAUAAACAUUAAUCCAUGAAAUACAAAAUUGGAGUGAUUUGUGCAUCGCUAAGUAACGUAUUUGAUUGACAAGACGAGUGCCAUACUGCUGUGAUCGUGACGCUAAUGAGAAAAAGGAUACGUUUGUUUGCAGUUUAUUUCCUGCUACAAAUAUUAGUCUCAUUUACAAUUCAUGUCUGCUGUAGUUUUUAUGAUGUGAAAUUCGUAUUUUGUCUCAUUAUUUAGCUGUAUAUGUCCCUGUUGUUCAGCAAUGUUUGCUCGCGAUAUCAAGAUUCAGUAUAUGCUGUUGAGACUACAAUAGAUUUAUUCAUCUAGUUUAUUAAUACUAUUAGGGAUAUUUUCUUGAUGCUAACAAAUAUCACCAAAUACGCUAUAAUGUGGUCAUCCGUGUCGAAUAAAGCACUUGUCUCUCCUACACAACAACAACCAAGCUUUUAGUUUUUGUUAUGAAAAUCGACAAGAUAGAUAAAGUGGAUUGGACCCACAAUCACAAUAUUUAUUAGUAGGACUUAACAUGACGUUAGUUUUUUGCACAAGCAGGUCUUAGUAGUUACAGAGUAUUUAGGCAUAGCAACUACAAAAGAACACAAACUAAUGCGAUCUAUUGUCAUUUCUAUACGUUUAUUACUCAUUGUAUUACCUAUUCUGUGUUAUAUGUGUUUUAUGUUGCGCGAUUGGACCAAGAAAAAUUCCUAGUUUGUGAACCCGUUCUCAAACAAUGGCAAUAAAAACUAUUCGGAUUCUGAUUAGUUCUGCUAUCAAACACUACUAUUAUAGUAGAGAAUAAACUCGAUUGCAUCACAGAAAGUUUCCCAAACAAAUCAAAUGUUCAAACAAACAUUUUACAAAGUGAUCUCUGCAGACACAACAAUGGUCCGAUUGUAUUCCCCAAGAUGAUGAAAGUGAUAUUUUGAAGAGCCAUUUUCUUCCACACACUUUAAUUUUUUUCCUGACUUUAUGAACCACUUCUUUCGGAACUUUACGAAAGCUGUUUCCUAUCUCUCUAUUUGAAGGACUGGAACACCCAAGAACCGAACAGCAAUAUUACAUUUUCUGCUCAAACUCUCCAAUCACUCUCACUUGUUUUAAUGCUACGCUCAAACUGCUUGACCAUCGUGUCAAUUAAGCCGCAAAGAACUUUUAUUUUGGUUCAUUUUCGGUAGAGAUGUCCGAUAAUGGCUUUUUUGCCGAUAUCCGAUAUUCCGAUAUUGUCCAACUCUUAAUUACCGAUUCCGAUAUCAACCGUCGUGGAAUUAACACAUUAUUAUCCCUAAUUUUGUUGUGAUGCCCCGCUGGAUGCAUUAAACAAUGUAACUUUACCAUGAAUUGAUUAACGUGGACCCCGACUUAAACAAAAACUUAUUCGGGUGGUCAAUUGUAAUACAGUUUUGUAUCUGUCAGACACACUUUAAAAUAAUCCCAAACCAUAGACAUGGUGUCGUUAGUCAGUCACCGAGCGAGCUCGCUUGUUAGCCAGGCUACAGCACCGGCAACAACACACUCUUGUUGUUGUUAUGUUCCGCUCGUUGCGUUUUGAUGAAGUCGUCAAGCUUCGCCAGUAAACCUCUCAUGCUGCAGUCGUCAACUCCUGUGUUGUGUGUGGGAGAGGAGAGAGGGGAGAGGGGAGACGGGCUGCUGAAUGGGAGACGCAACUGCUCUGUACUGCUCCCUACGUCCGUGUUUUACCAGAUAUGUACCGCUCCGUACAGCGGCGUUUUAAAAAGUCAUUAAUUUUACUUUUUGAAACCGAUACCGAUAAUUUCUUAUAUUACAUUUUAAAGCAUUUAUCGGCCGAUAUUAUCGGACAUCUCUAAUUUUCGGGCUUUCCACGGCAGACGUGGGAAUGACUGGGAUUUUUAUGCUCAUGUUAAGGGUUAAGUUUCCUUCCUUCUUGGCAUCUGUCAAUAAUGUUAAUUGAUCAAUAAACUUGCCUUGUUUUCUAUCUCCUAUGUUAUAGUAUGUUCUUUCCAUUGUGACUAGGCAGGGGCUUGCUUUCCAUGAGGUAAGUUUAAUCGAACAUUUUAAACAAAUAAUAAAUGUGGUAUCCUACAGUUGGUGUCUAUAUGUGGCAACAUACUGUUCAUUUUGAGAAGACAAUCAUGAAUUCUUCUCACCACUGGCACACGAUUUCAGAUGGACAUGCCUUUGAUCAGGGAGUGGUGGUGCCUUCUUUUAAUCCAGCCAUCCAUCCAUUGUCCCUCUCGGGGUCGCGAAGGUGCUAAAGCCUAUCCCAGCUGCAUUAAUAGAGUGUUUCAAAAUAGAAAGGUAUGUCAUGUUCAGAUCUAUGUUAACAAUGAAUACUUUAUACAGUCGUGGUCAAAAGUUUACAUACUCUUGUAAAGAACAUAAUGUCAUGGCUGUGUUGAGUUUCCAAUAAUUUCUACAACUCUUAUUUUUUUGUGAUAGAGUGAUUGGAGCACAUACUUGUUGGUCACAAAAAAACAUUCAUGAAGUUUGGUUCUUUUAUGAAUUUAUUAUGGGUCUACUGAAAAUGUGACCAAAUCUGCUGGGUCAAAAGUAUACAUACAGCAAUGUUAAUAUUUGGUUACAUGUCCCUUGGCAAGUUUCACUGCAAUAAGGCACUUUUGGUAGCCAUCCACAAGCUUCUGGUUGAAUUUUUGACCACUCCUCUUGACAAAAUUGGUGCAGUUCAGCUAAAUUUGUUGGUUUUCUGACAUGGACUUGUUUCUUCAGCAUUGUCCACACAUUUAAGUUAGGACUUUGGGAAGGCCAUUCUAAAACCUUAAUUCUAGCCUGAUUUAGCCAUUCCUUUACCACUUUUGACGUGUUUUUGGGGUCAUUCUCCUGUUGGAACACCCAACUGUGCCCAAGACCCAACCUCCGGGGUUAUGAUUUUAGGUUGUCCUGAAGAAUUUGUCCCAUUUACUCUCUGUAAAGUACCAGUUCCAUUGGCAGAAAAACAGGCCUAGAGCAUAGUACUACCACCACCAUGCUUGACGGUAGGGAUGGUGUUCCUGGCAUUAUGUUCUUUACAAGUGUAUGUAAACUUUUGACCAUGACUGUAUGUGAUCGAUCAACAAGUGAUUCGCUAAGCUAGUUGAACAUCUGACUAAAAACACAGACUCUUAAAUUGUGGCUUAGGAGGAUCAAAAUAAACGACUUGAUUGGUAGAAUAUCAAUCAUGACCUGUAACUCUAUGUAUAGCUCAGUGGUUCUUAACCUGGGUUCGAUCAAACCCUAGGGGUUCGGUGAGUCGGCCUCAGGGGUUCAGUGGAGCCUCCGCCGGGGAGGUCAAGACACACCCGACUCAUCUUGUAAAUAAAAACUUCUCCCUAACGGCGUACUAUGGAUACCCCCAAACAAUGUUCCCUCUAAUUUUCCAUCUGAUUUGCAAGAGUGUAAUUUAAUGUGAGUUUAUGCACUGUGUUGGUUUUGUUCUUUGAACGGUUCAUUUGGUGCACCAGUAAAAAAAACAUAUAAAUUUGUCUUUAAUUAAAAAAAAAAAAAAGUUUAAUUUUUCACUAAGGAAGGGUUUGGUGAAUGCACAUAUGAAACUGGUGAGGUUCGGUCCCUCAAACAAGGUUAAGAACCACUGGUAUAGCUGCUUCAAACAGGAAUAUGUAUACCUGUACAUUUUUUAAAUGUCAUAAUUUGGAUGAGCCCUGUGAUGACGUGGCGACUUGUCCAGGGUGUACCCCGCCUUCCGCCCGAUUGUAGCUGAGAUAGGCUCAAGCACCCCCCGCGACCCCGAAGGGAAUAAGCGGUAGAAAAUGGAUGGAUGGAUGGAUAAUUUGGAUGAAUGAUUUGCUUGUUUCUGUGAUGAGGUGGCGACCUGUCCAGGGUGUACCCCGCCUUCCGCACGAAUGCAGCUGAGAUAGGCUCCAGCACCCCCCGCGACCCCAAAAGGGAAAAACGGUAGAAAAUGGAUGGAUGGAUUUGCUUGUUUUAGGUCAUGAUAAGAAGUUAGCCUUUUGGCCAACCGGGGCCAAAAGGCUGGUGAAGGGAGAGCUACCACCUGUGUUCAGGGUGCCUCGACAGAGUGGCCUCACGACUCAACUUCACCCCCAACUUCAAGCAGUCAGUGAGGCUAAAAAAAAAAGAAAAAAAAAAGGCACUGUGGGACUUCAAUGUGCAUUCACAAGGAGCGGAGCAGCAUUUGAUGGUAAUUUUCAAAUUGUUUACAUUUUCUCAUCACCACUGCUAAGUGAUUAAAAUGGCACUCUGCCACAACAACCCUUUGUUAGGAUUAUUCUCAGAAAUAGUAUUACACACACCACCAAACUAACAAGCUUUUUUUCUAGUGUUAAAAUAUGCAUGUAUUUAAUUCAGCUGCCAUUUAUAGUCAGUAUUUUAGGGAGCUCUUGCCACACUAAAUCGUUAAUUUCCCAAGCCUUUUUCUCAGAGUAUACUCGGUGCAAAGCCAUCCAAGUGGGCAGCGAUGAAGCAGGUCCCUGUUUAACUAGACCGGGGGUCAGCAACCCGCGGCUCUCGAGCCCGAGUGGCUCCCUGGACCUCUUUCAGAGAUGUGUGAAAAUGGAAAAAGAUUAAAAAAAUAUAUAUUUUUUUUGUUUUAAUAUAUUUUCCGUAGGAGGACAAACAUGACACAAAUCUUCCUAAUUGAUCGAAAUCCCACUGUUUAUAUUAAACAUGCUUCACUGAUGCGAACAUUUGGCGAGUGCCAUUUUGUCCCACUGAUCCUUUAACUCACCAUAGUUUGUUUACAUGUACAACUUUUUCCGACGCUGCCACAGAAAUACGUGAUUUAUGCCACUCCUUCUUUGUCUCAUUUUGUUCACCAAACGUUUUAUGCUAUGCACAAAGGUGAGCUUUGUUGAUUUUAUUGAUUUGCUGGAGUGCUAAUCAGGCAUAUUAGCAAAAUUGAUGUUAACAUGCUAUUUAGGCUAGCUGUAUGUACAUAUUGCAUCAUUAUGCCUCGUUUGUAGGUAUAUUUGAGCUCAUUUAAUUUCCUUUACUUAUGUCCUCUGUGUAUUUAAUUUAGAUGUGCAUGUCUCAUGACACAUUAUCUGUAUGUAAUAUUGGCUGCAUUUCUGAUAGUCAAUUGUGUGCCAUGUUGUUCCAGACCACAGCAAACAUUACCCAGCUUGCAAAGAUUGCAACAAAUCCAUUAGAAGAUUUCCUUAAACUUGGACACCAUACUUGCCAACCUUGAGACCUCCGAAUUCGGGAGAUUGGGUGGGGGGUUGGUGGUAGCGGGGGUGUAUAUUGUAGCGUCCCGGAAGAGUUAGGGAUGCAAGGUAUUCUGGGUAUUUGUUCUGUUGCAUUUCUGUUGUUGUGUUACGGUGCGGAUGUUCUCCCGAAAUGCGUUCGUCAUUCUUGUUUGGUGUGGGUUCACAGUGUGGCGCAUAUUUGUAACAGUGUUAAAGUUGUUUAUACGCCCACCGUCAGUGUGGCCUGUAUGGCUGUUGAUCAAGUAUGUCUUGCAGUCACUUACAAAAGCCACAUACAACAUGUGACUGGGCCGGCACGCCGUUUGUAUGGUGUAGAAGCGGACGCGUCGACAGGUUGUAGAGGACGCUAAAGGCAGUGUCAUCACGGCACGCCCUCAAUAUUGUUGUCCGGGUGAAAAUCGGGAGAAAUUCGGGAGAAUGGUUGCUCCGGGAGAUUUUCGGGAGGGGCACUGUAAUUCGGGAGUCUCCCGGAAAAAUCGCGAGGGUUGGCAAGUAUGUUGGACACACACAUCUACUGUAUAUGUCACAACGGGGUUUUCGCAGCUUACUGCGGGGUCAGUUCUCCCGAAAUGCAAGCGGACCACUCCGGACAUGGCGUGCAGGUAGGAACAUGAUUUAAUUAUCAAAACUCAAAGAGGUACAAAAAACAGAAAACGAGCCGACCGAACAACGUGCCUGAUCGCACUUGAAGCUAAAGCUAACACUUAGCAUGGACUAUGGACAAUGAAUAAUCACGUAACUUUGGCAUUAAACAAACAAUUUACGUAGACAGGUUGCAUGAAGCAAAUAAUAACGCCAGGCCUACUGACUGGCAAAGGCAGGCUUAAACAAUGCCUCUGAUUAGUGCUCGGGAAGCAAGUGAGCGGGUGAACACUAAUCAGAGACAGGUGGAAAUAAUAAGUAACCAUGGUAACUAAAACAAACAAGGGUGCACAAAAACAGGAACUAUGGAGUCCAAAACUAACAGAACAUAACAAAACAUGAUCCGGACCACGGAUCAUGACAGUAUACCUUUGGCCAUUCUAAACCAGUCAUUUCCAGAAGUUAUCUCAUCCUGUGAGAAGCCUCCAUUUUACUAAGGAUUUGCAGACGAGUUGCAAAAAUGUGUAGAAUGAAAAUUAAAAUACAACAUUUCUGUCAACGAAGAGUUGCGUCAGCCUUUGAUAGUAGGCUAAUAUUCUCAUGACUUGGUCCUGGGUGUUUGCUUUUCCGGGAUGCAACGGAAAGUUGGCUCGGGCGAGACGGGAAUAUGAGUACAUUAUUUAUUUAAUAUAUUUAAAAAAAGUACAAACGAAAAGCGCGCACAGUGGCGGAGAAAACGACUUGGCUAUGAAAACAAAUACUUGCACAAAGGCAGAAACUAUGAACAACAAAAAACACUAACUGUGGCUUAAUAAACAAAGACUUACUUGGCAUGGAACCGGCAUGAAAAAAGAGCAGCAAGGGUCAUAAGGGUGUGGCGAGUGUGUAGAAGCAUAAAUGCAGGGAUGUCGUCAGAACGACAAACUGAAAACAAUUAACUUAAAUACUAUAGACAUGAUUAACGAAAACAGGUGCGUGACUCAAAAUGUGAAACAGGUGCGUGACGUGACAGGUGAAAACUAAUGGUUGCUAUGGUGACAAAACAAAAGUGCAAAAAAGUCCAAAAACAAAACCGAACAUGACCAAAACAAAAACAUGAUCACACAGACAUGACAAAUAUAGACACUUACAUCAUGUGUUGCCUUCAUUAUAAUACUUACAUAAGGCUUUUAAUUUUUUGCGGCUCCAGACAGGUUUUUGUUUUGUAUUUUCGGUCCAAUAUGGCUCUUUAAAUAUUCUGGGUUGCCUACCCCUGACCUAGACAGAGAAGAAGAACAGAAGACCCUCUUCACCCAUCUGAAGUCACUCCUCACCACAACUCCAUCAACAGUGCAAUAUACACUGAGGAUGUGAAAUUAAUCUGUGAAGUUAUUUUCCCAGAGGUCUUUUUAUAUUGCAUUUCUGCAGUGAAUGGCAUUUCCUGUUGUCCAUCAAAGGCAAGAGAAGGAAAGUAGGAACACUGAUGUGAAGUGGACGAGUUCUGCGGGAGGCUGGAAAGGCAGUUGAGGAAGGAAGGAGCACUGCCAUAAAGUCUGUUUUGUGGAAAGUUUAGCUUGUGCAAUAAAACAUUUAAAACCAUUUCAUUUAAUCUAUUUCAUUGGAGGCUAUUUAAGGCUGGUUUGUCAAUAUAACCCCAUGCAAUAGAGCAUAUAAAAUAAUUUCAUUUAAUUGUUGGCUAUUUAGUAGACUACUGCAACGCACUUCUUGUCGGGAUCCCCAGCAAGAACAUCCAGAAGCUGCAAUACAUACAGAAUGGUGCUGCUAGGAUCCUGAUAAGAGUGCGGAAAUACGACCAUAUCACACCAAUUCUAAAAUCCCUUCACUGGCUUCCUGUUCCACUCAGGAUUGAAUACAAAGUCUCCCUACUAACCCACCAGUGCCUCCAUGGAAAUGCCUCCCUCUACCUCAAAGAACUACUCACCCCCAAAUCCUCCACCCGACACCUCCGCUCCGGACAGGCUAACCUCCUCCAACCUCAGAGGACAAAGCUACAAACAAUGGGAGACCGGGCUUUCUGCUCCGCCGCUCCCAGUCUGUGGAACGCUCUCCCUGACCACCUGAGGGCACCACAGACUGUGGAUGCUUUUAAAAAAGGCUUAAAAACUCUUCUUUUUAAAAAAGCCUUUUUUUUUUUUUUUAGAUAUAUGCAUACUAGUUCUAGCUAUGAAGCUGUUCUAGUUUUUAUUUUUUUAUUAUCUUUUUAUUUUUUUAUUUUUUUAAUACACUGUAGCACUUUGAGGUUGUUUGCUCAAUGUAAAGUGCUUU